UCCCUCCCCACACUCCAUAACUCUCUCUCUCUCCAUAUUUAUCUCUAACAUACCCCACUCAUCCUCCAUGUUCCUGCAACUUUGCAAUGUUAAAAAAGGUCUGUAUCGUGCGGUGUUUUCAAACGUCCCAAAUGGAUUCCUGUUCUAGGAGGGAAAAAGAUAGAAGAAGAAAGGUCUCUCUGACUAGUAAGGAAUUCAAAUGAAAUGAUAGAAGACGAAAGGUCUCUCCCGUUGCAACCCAAAAGCUUCCUAGAAGGUAGACCACCAUAAGACACAGCACGACUAUAAACCUCCAAGAAGGGAGACCACUGAACGAUCCUCACUUACUUUCUCUCUCACAUUUUUCUGGCUCUCAACAGCCGAUCAUAUCUCCCUUGUGCACGGUGUUUCCAACCAUCAUCUGCAACCCAUAAGCCUCUAGAACUUCUUCUACCUCAAGGUAAGAUUCUUUUCUCUCUUUCUUUGCUUAGGGGGCUGAAGAGGAUUUUUGGCUGAAGAAGAACCUGUUCUGUUCUUCUGGUUCUAUAUCUACGAUCUUGUUGCAAGCUGAUCUUCUACUGUCCUACACUGGUUCGAGGUUAGCACUGCAUAAGUCUGCAUCCCAAAAAUGAUGAUUUUCUUGAUGGCAUUUGACUCCAUUACUUGCUAGCUCAAACCCAAGUAGUCAUACAGAUCAAGGUUUCCAUGUACACCUGGCAUAGAAGGUUGGAGACCAAUUGUAGAAACUGUUCAUGCAAAUGGUGGGAUCAUGUUUUGCCAGACCUUUCACGUCGGGAGGGUGCAAGAGAGUUGGAUGCUACGAUGCUUCUAGCGAUUGAAACUUUUACUCUAAAAGUUUAUCAAGUCUGUGCUACGCCGUGUGUAUUCUUGUCCAAAAAUUCACAGUAUUAUUAAAUUGGAUGGUGAUGAAUAAGAAGAUUUACAAAAUUAAUAGGUUAAGUUUAUAGCAUGAUGAAAUUUUUUAAUAAAAAAAAAAUAGAGGUAAAUCUGUCUUAUUUUAAAAUCUUUCUCUCAAGUCUCAAAUGAGUAUAUUUACCAAAAAGAGAAAACCUCAACUAAUAAGAAAAUUUAUUGGAAAAAAAAAUCUCCAAUACUGUCUGAUCCAAGGUAAUCCGGAUCCAUAUCGGCCAUUGGAGGAUGAAAAUCUUAUCAUACCUAAUGUGUAUUAGAUUCCAAAGAGUCUACAUCCUCUAUAACGAAUGGUAAAAUGCAAUGAGUAUCAGACAGCUGAGAGUAUCUGAACAGCCACACAUGUUUAUUAGAUGAAAAUAUUUUUAAUUGAGGAAUUCUGGGUAGAGACCUACGUACUUUUGGAUAGACAGCUUGCAUUUUGGAUAUUACCCAUGUGUUUAUGACAUGGGAAUAUUUUGGAUUGGAGGAUAGUGGGCAGGUUAGCCACGUCAGGACAACGAGGGAGGAGGAGGACCCAUAGAUCCAAUCAUAUACUGUCUCUCCACAAACUGUGGGUUCUAUCUAUAAAUAAAUAUGGGACCUUGACCUUCCACAAGUAAUGCAUUUUUUGUUGCCAUUCUUAGUUUGACAAGACCAGAUCAAGUUUAUGUAGAAGAAUAAUUGUAUAUGUUUCUAGUCUAUACAUUUGGAAUCUACUUUCUUUCUUUUUAU